rnacentral:misc_RNA from 1 species
GGUUGAUCCUGGCUCAGAUUGAACGCUGGCGGGAUGCUUUACACAUGCAAGUCGAACGGCAGCACGGACUUCGGUCUGGUGAGUGGCGAACGGGUGAGUAAUGUAUCGGAACGUGCCUAGUAGCGGGGGAUAACUGCGCGAAAGCGUAGCUAAUACCGCAUACGCCCUUCGGGGGAAAGCGGGGGGGACCUUCGGGCCUCACACUAUUAAACGACCGAUAUCGGAUUAGCUAGUUGAGGUGAGGGUAACGGCUCACAAGGCGACGAUCCGUAGCUGGUUUUGAAGAGGACGACCAGCCACACUGGGACUGAGACACGGCCCAGACUCCUACGGGAGGCAGCAGUGGGGAAUUUUGGACAAUGGGGGAAACCCUGAUCCAGCCAUCCCGCGUGUGCGAUGAAGGCCUUCGGGUUGUAAAGCACUUUUGGCAGAAAGAAACGGCACGGGGAUAAUACCCCGAUGCAGCGGGCAGUACCUGCCAAAAGUGCUUUGGCAGGCGCGCGCAGGAUGGCAGGGUUUCCCCCGAUGUCCAAAAGGACACUCCCGGCGGCCGUCUCGAUCCCAGUUAAUAACCGCAGAUCGAUCCUCUCAAACCAGCGCAGAUCGUCGCAACCGUUCCGCCCCGCCGGCCGUAGUCAGUCCAUCGGCAAAUAAUAGGUGAGUUUGGAAUCCCCGCCGAAAGGGCGUAUCAUGCGGUAACGCUUUCGUCAGUUCCGGCCAUUACUCUACCCGUUCGCCACUGCCCGCCGGACGAGAAAUCCGUGCUGCCGCUUCGGCACAUGUGUAAAGCGUCCGCCGGCGUUCAAUCUGAGCCGGGAUCGAAC